AUUUUCCAAGCCUUUGUGGUUCAGGAGUGUGGAUGGGUAGGGGAGCGUCGUGUGGGCGGUGAAGCUGCGGUGGAAACCAGUGGUGGAGCCUACACGAGUGAGAAUGCAGGCAUGAGUAGCGAAAGACGGGUGAGAAACCCGUCCGCCGAAUGAUCAAGGGUUCCAGGGUCAAGCUAAUCUGCCCUGGGUAAGUCGGGACCUAAGGCGAGGCCGACAGGCGUAGUCGAUGGACAACGGGUUGAUAUUCCCGUACCGGCGAAGAACCGCCCAUACUGAGCGGGGGAUACUAACCGCCCGAAGCCUGCCCGACCGUCCUUUGGACGGAAGGGUUUUGGUGGAGCGCGGGACCUGAUCCCGGGAGGUAAGCGUAUUAACAGGUGUGACGCAGGAAGGUAGCCGGGCCGGGCGAUGGUUGCCCCGGUCUAAGGAUGUAGGGCGAACGGUAGGCAAAUCCGCCGUUCAUGUGCCUGAGAUCUGAUGGGACUCCCGUUCGGGGGGAUCCGGUGAUCCUAUGCUGCCUAGAAAAGCAUCGGCGCGAGGUUCCAGCUGCCCGUACCCCAAACCGACACAGGUGAUCAGGUAGAGAAUACCAAGGCGAUCGAGAGAAUUAUGGUUAAGGAACUCGGCAAAAUGCCCCCGUAACUUCGGGAGAAGGGGGGCCCGGACCGUGAAGCCCACUUGCUGGGUGGAGCGGGUAAGGGCCGCAGAGACCAGGGGGAAGCGACUGUUUACUAAAAACACAGGUCCGUGCGAAGUCGCAAGACGAUGUAUACGGACUGACUCCUGCCCGGUGCUGGAAGGUUAAGAGGACCGGUUAGCCCUUCGUGGGCGAAGCUGAGAAUUUAAGCCCCAGUAAACGGCGGUGGUAACUAUAACCAUCCUAAGGUAGCGAAAUUCCUUGUCGGGUAAGUUCCGACCUGCACGAAUGGAGUAACGACUUCCCCGCUGUCUCAACCAUAAACUCGGCGAAAUUGCAGUACGAGUAAAGAUGCUCGUUACGCGCAGCAGGACGGAAAGACCCCGAGACCUUUACUAUAGUUUGGUAUUGGUGUUCGGAGUGGCUUGUGUAGGAUAGGUGGGAGACUGUGAAGCCCGGACGCCAGUUCGGGUGGAGUCAUCGUUGAAAUACCACUCUGGUCACUUUGGACAUCUAACUUCGGCCCGUGAUCCGGGUCAGGGACAGUGCCUGAUGGGUAGUUUAACUGGGGCGGUUGCCUCCUAAAAAGUAACGGAGGCGCCCAAAGGUUCCCUCAGCCUGGUUGGCAAUCAGGUGUCGAGUGUAAGUGCACAAGGGAGCUUGACUGUGAGAGAGACAUCUCAAGCAGGGACGAAAGUCGGGACUAGUGAUCCGGCGGUACAUUGUGGAAUGGCCGUCGCUCAACGGAUAAAAGGUACCUCGGGGAUAACAGGCUGAUCUUGCCCAAGAGUCCAUAUCGACGGCAUGGUUUGGCACCUCGAUGUCGGCUCGUCGCAUCCUGGGGCUGGAGUAGGUCCCAAGGGUUGGGCUGUUCGCCCAUUAAAGCGGUACGCGAGCUGGGUUUAGAACGUCGUGAGACAGUUCGGUCCCUAUCCGCUGCGCGCGCAGGAAAUUUGAGAAGGGCUGUCCUUAGUACGAGAGGACCGGGACGGACGAACCUCUGGUGUGUCAGUUGUACUGCCAAGUGCACCGCUGAUUAGCUACGUUCGGAUGGGAUAACCGCUGAAAGCAUCUAAGCGGGAAGCUCGCUUCAAGAUGAGAUUUCCAAACACGUAAGUGUUGAAGGCCCCCAGCCAGACCACUGGGUUGAUAGGCCGGACGUGGAAGACAGGACCAACGACUGUCGAAGCCGACCGGUACUAAUAGGCCGACAACUUACACCA
rnacentral:rRNA from 1 species